CCUACGGGAGGCAGCAGUGAGGAAUAUUGGUCAAUGGACGCAAGUCUGAACCAGCCAUGCCGCGUGCAGGAAGACGGCUCUAUGAGUUGUAAACUGCUUUUGUACGAGGGUAAACGCAGAUACGCGUAUCUGUCUGAAAGUAUCGUACGAAUAAGGAUCGGCUAACUCCGUGCCAGCAGCCGCGGUAAUACGGAGGAUUCAAGCGUUAUCCGGAUUUAUUGGGUUUAAAGGGUUCGUAGGCGGUCGGAUAAGUUAGAGGUGAAAUCCCGAGGCUCAACUUCGGAAUUGCCUCUGAUACUGUUCGGCGAGAGAGUAGUUGCGGUAGGCGGAAUGUAUGGUGUAGCGGUGAAAUGCUUAGAGAUCAUACAGAACACCGAUUGCGAAGGCAGCUUACCAAGCUACUUCUGACGUUGAGGCACGAAAGCGUGGGGAGCAAACAGGAUUAGAUACCCUAGUAGUC
rnacentral:rRNA from 1 species